GGUUUGUAGCUCAGUGGUAAAGCACUUGCCUCCCACACGUGAGGCCCUGGGCUCAAUCCUCAGCACCA
rnacentral:tRNA from 1 species